UACAGAGGUCUCAAGCGUUGUUCGGAUUCAUUGGGCGUAAAGGGUGUCGUAGGUGGCGCGUAAGUCGGGUGUGAAAUUUCGGAGCUUAACUCCGAAACUGCAUUCGAUACUGCCGUGCUUGAGGACUGGAGAGGAGACUGGAAUUUACGGUGUAGCAGUGAAAUGCGUAGAGAUCGUAAGGAAGACCAGUGGCGAAGGCGGGUCUCUGGACAGUUCCUGACACUGAGGCACGAAGGCCAGGGGGAGCAAAACGGG
rnacentral:rRNA from 1 species